UCUCUUAGUAGCGGCGAGCGAACAGAGAUUAGCCCAGAACCGAAUCCUGCAGCGUGAGCUGUUAGGAAAUGUGGUGUUUGGUUCAGGUCAUGCGGCACAUUGCGAUUGCUUCAAGUCCACGUGAUUGUGGCUUCAAGCCCAUAGAGGGUGUAAGGCCCGUACGAGCAAUGCAAUAUGUCCAGGAUUUGUGCCUAGAGUCGGGUUGUUUGGAAAUGCAGCCCAAAUCGGGUGGUAAACUCCAUCCAAGGCUAAAUACAACACGAGUCCGAUAGCGAACAAGUAUUAUGAAAGAAAGUUGAAAAGAACUUUGAAGAGAGAGUUCAACAGUGCGUGAAACCGCUCAAAGGUAAACGGGCAGAGCUGAAGGAAAGUUUGCAUAUUUGUAUUUCACUUGGGCCAUGCAUUAGGUGCUGGGAUAGGCAACUACCCGGUCUUUUGUGUGCGUUUGGGUGUUGUGCUAUUCUGCAUUCUUGACACCAAGAUCAGUAAUUAGGUUGGCCUGUCAUUUUGGGGAAGGUGACUCUGGAUUUAUCUGGAGUGUUAUAGCCUCUUAGUACAGCGCCGACUGAAUACUGUUAUGCGAUGCAAGCCAUUGUGGCGUACAAGGUGCGGUGUUGGUAUGAAGUAGUUUUAUCAACUCAUCAAGAGAUGAUUUGGCUAUCUGACGAUCGCAUUGCGUCCUCUGUACGGUGCAUCAAUAAUCUUUGGUGAAAUUGUAGGUAAUCUGCCCGACCCGUCUUGAAACACGGACCAAGGAGUUUAGCAUGUGCGCGAGUCAUGGGGUUGUACGAAACCUAAAGGCGCAGUGAAAGUAAAGGCUUGCUUUAUGCAGGCUACGGUAGGAUCUUGGCUUUCAAUGUGUGGCAACAUACAUGGGCUGGGCGCACUACCAGCUCGUCCCAUGCUUUAUUAAGUGGGGCGACGCACGAGCGCACAUGCUGAGACCCGAAAGAUGGUGAACUAUGCUUGUGUAGGUUGAAGCCAGAGGAAACUCUGGUGGAGGACCGUAGCAAUUCUGACGUGCAAAUCGAUUGUCAAACAUGAGUAUAGGGGCGAAAGACUAAUCGAACCAUCUAGUAGCUGGUUCCCUCCGAAGUUUCCCUCAGGAUAGCUGGCACUUUGGAAACAAACAGUUUUAUCCGGUAAAGCGAAUGAUUAGCAGUAUUGGGGGUGACAUAUCCUCAACUGAUUCUCAAACUUUAAAUGGGUGAGAUGCUCAUCUCUCUUAAAUAUGGAGUUGGGCUUUUGAAUGUGAGUGCCUAGUGGGCCAUUUUUGGUAAGCAGAACUGGCGCUGUGGGAUGAACCAAACGUCUGGUUAAGGAGCCAAACGCAACGCUCAUGAGAAACCACAAAAGGUGUUGGUUGAUUUAGACAGCAGGACGGUGGCCAUGGAAGUCGGAAUCCGCUAAGGAGUGUGUAACAACUCACCUGCCGAAUCAACCAGCCCUGAAAAUGGAUGGCGCUUGAGCGUUGGUCCUAUACCAGACCGUUACCGCAAGAUCAAAGUAUGUGGUAACGAGUAGGAGGGCGCCGUGGUGAGCAUAGAAGCCUUGGUCGUGAGACUGGGUGGAGCCGCCACGGGUGCAGAUCUUGGUGGUAGUAGCAAAUAUUCAAGUGAGAACCUUGAAGACUGAAGUG
rnacentral:rRNA from 1 species